CUGAGCGCAGUUCAGUACAGUUCAGCGUGCGGAUGGAUGAUGUUGAAGUCGCCCGACCAUCAGGUCAGCCUUUCGAAAAGAUCGCCGGUGUUUUUUAAUUUUUUCGUGAAAUGUGACAUUGAUGUUCGAGUGUUAGUUCUCCAUCGGAAGGGUUGAUGAAUAUGUCCGACGCUGCCACUCAAGAUGAUACUUGGGAGGAUUUUUUUGGAUCGUCUCCGGAUUUGAUGCCGAGUAUUAUGGGCGCAUUCGAUGCCUACUUGCAUCAGAAGAGCUCAGAACACGCUAGUCUAGACCCGCAUAGAACCUCCACUCCUAAGCGCUCCCAUCAGCUGGGAGGGUUCGCCCAUUUGUCGCCCUGCGUUCAGAAAAUCCUCAGCAACGUUCCCGAGCAGGAGAUCAGCAAAAAGUUCAGCUCAGAAGAAGCGUUGGGCCCGAGGCGAAGCCGGUUUGCCUACAGGAGUCUCAGGGGCGCCGAGCGCAAUUCCACAAUGAACCGCAGCACUGAGAACUUGGACAUUAUUUCACCAGGCGUCCACAAAAUGCUGUCCAACCUUCAGGACUCGGAGCUGGUGAUCAGCACCAGCAACUUGCACGUCACCACUUCUACCACGACCAGAACCAUGACGAAAAAUCAGUCGUACCUGUUUUCGCGUGGUACCAGCGAACGGAAUAGACACUGUCGCUACGCUUCCACCAAUGGUGAUCAGUCCAGUGGUUCUGUUGAUGGUGAUGAUGGACGGCCGACUAAUCAGGACGGUUCUGCGGGUGCUGGUGAAUCGGGCAGUGAUCGCGUGAACGGACUGGCGAGUGAUCACAGUGAUAACAGUGAACGGGUGGGGAAUAGUGACGGAUAUUCGGCCAUCCCAUUGGGCAGCUAUUUGCAUUCGGAUAAGGGCAUUGCGUCUAGGACGCCGGUCGGCAGGAAGAAUUUGGGGAAAUAUUUGCAGGUCCCCAGCGAAAGCUCCACCGGCAUGACCAAUAGCACGGUCUCCUCGUCGGAAGUGUCCCGACCGGUGUCCCUAACCAGCCUCGGAUCCUGUUCGUCUUCGGGCAGCAGCAACGGACCUCUACAUCAGCCUGGAUCGGCCUAUCUGGCUUCAGCUGAAAGUCUGGAUAGCGAUCCGGAACCGGCAGGAAGUCAAGGUUCAGCAGACAGCGGCAUUGCCGAACAGGAACCGCAAUCCAUCAAUCCCGAGCAACGCGUCCUGCAAGAAGUGCUCGACACCGAAACUGUGUACGUUGCCGCUCUUCAAGAAGUCAUCCAGGGUUACUUAGAGCCUUGGAGGAACGACCCAGACUGUCCACUGGGUCAACAUCUACAAGACCUUUUCACCAAUUUGGAAGAAAUCCAUGAAUUCAAUAGACAAAUUCUUGAAGACCUUCGCAAGGCCAACCUAGACCCAACCAAAACAGCCAACGUGUUUCUUCAGCACGACGGCGGGUUCAAAGUGUACAACGACUUUUGUGCGCGUUAUCCGCGUACCAUGGAAGUACUCAGCGCUCUGCAGAGGGACGACGAAAUCUCCCCACUGAUCAGGGAGAAGCAGCUGCAGCUGGGCCACGCCCUGCCGUUGGGCAGCUACCUGUUGAAGCCCGUGCAACGCAUCCUCAAGUAUCAUCUUCUUCUCCAGAGACUAUCCAAACAAUGUGAGCCGCAACACAAACCCACUGUGGACUUGGCGCUGACUACGAUGACUGCCGUAGCCGCAGACAUCAACAACAUGAAACGAAAGCAUGAGGAUGCUGUUCGGGUGCAGGAAAUCCAAUCGCAACUAUACGGAUGGACGGGGGCUGAUCUAACCACCCUCGGGGAGCUGAUAGCCGAGGGCACAUUCCGGGUCCAAGGCGCCAAAGGCCGCAGGCACGUCUUCCUAUUCGAGAAGGUCCUGCUGUUGGCCAAAAGUAAGACUGAGGGCGCUUUGGCCUACAAAACGCACAUCGAGUGCUCCAACUUGAUGCUAGUGGAACAAGUGCGAGGAGAGCCGCUCUCCUUCCAAAUACUGCCGUUUGAUAACCCGCGCCUCCAAUGCACCUUGAGGGCCAGAUCUCCGCAACACAAGCGGGAAUGGACGUUGCAGAUCAAAAGGGUCAUUUUGGAGAACUACAGUGCUGUGAUACCCAACCACGCCCGGCAGCUGGUCAUGCAGCUGGGACAGGAUGUUCAAGAUAAUGAGGAUACAUCAGAUAGAUGGUCGCCGCUGAAGCACAAUUCCAUCACUCCCCAUUACUUGGAGAGACGGACGCGUGUAAGGAAAACCCGAGAACUGUCCAAGGAAAGGUCGGUGUCCCAGGACAGGGUGUUUACAUCGUUCGGGAGUUGGCGACGAAAGUCUGAGCCCAGCAUGAUUCCGCAGCAGUACGACGCCAAAGUGAUACCAAAAAAGAUCUCAAAGCUGAAAAAGUCCAAAGAGACUGGCAGCUCGACCUUCUACACGGACUUGUCCGACUUGGAGAACUGCGACUUGGCAGCGGAAUCGGUGGAGAGUCUCUCCAGCAAGGUGCGGGAGGACAGCAAAGAGGAGCCGGAUGGGCACGUGGAGGAAAUCAGCCCGAAAACAAUCGAGAGCAAUUUGGAGAAGAUCGUUUCGGAGCUUCUGAUGCAGAACCAGGACUUUCACAAGGAGUCUUCACCAGAACCCACGCCACCCUAGACGCAAUGUCACUAGCGAACCGGGCCCCAUUUGGUACGACGAAAGACCGGAACUUCCCAGCAAAGCUGACUCGUUGCCGCGCUCCUUCCAAUUAAACGACCCCGAGCUGGCUCAGGAACCCGAUGAGAAAAGUGAGGAGUUUAGAGAGCCGCAACACAAUGAUAUGUCCUCCCGCCUGGACGAAACUGACCAUCCAGAGUACAAGAUUUACC
rnacentral:misc_RNA from 1 species